GAAUUCGGUGACGUAUUGACUCUCUUUCACUCUCUCUUUUCGAUAGAAAGAGGGUCGAAUUGAAAUCUGUCUCUUUCUCUCUCUCUCUCUCUGUAGAACCAGAGGUCGCCGUCUUUUUUCUUUUUCCCUAGUUUCUCACCGGUAAGCCCUAUGAUUUUAUCUUUCAAUUUGUCUCGAAUUUGAAAUUUGAGAUAGCAUUUUUCUCUCUAUCAAUAAUUCGAUUUCUAGGGUUAUUUUCUUGUUUGUUUCUGUUUCCCCUAUUUGUUUCCCUUCAGUUUCUAGGGUUUCGCUGUUGCUGUUAUCUGUUGUUUACCUCUUGUAAUUAACACUGCAAUAAUAAUCAACGGUCUGAGAUUUAUUACUCUAGUAUUUUCUCUCAGAUCUAAAGUCGGGAAAUUUGUUUGCUAUCUUAAGAAGAAUUUGGAUUAGGGUUUUUAGGAGAGGAACUUUAGGCUUUGAUUGGGAGCUGGUGUUAAGGUAUUUGCUUUAUUUGUUGUUUUCUAUAUUUAUAUAUAUGGCGGCUGGGAGACAUGGUGGUUAUCAUGAUAAUGAAUUCCCUAAGAGGGAGUUUGCCUAUUCUAAAGAGGAUUAUGAUAGAAUUGGGAAUGGUAAUCGUGAGAAUGAGCGACCGGGUCGAGUUCGUGAUGUAAGAGAUAGAGGUAGAGUUAGACAGAAGGAUAUUAAAGAGAGAGAAGUUGUCAAUGGUGGGUACCGGUCCUCUUCUAGUAGGACUGAUUCAGGUGGUAGCAGCGGUGGCAGCGGUGGUGAUGUGCAUGCUGGACCUAGGAGAUGUGAGUUUGCUGCUAGGGCUAUAGAUAGGGAGCCAGGUGAAUUGUCUAGUGAGAGUGGGUCUGAUGAUGCUAUUGAGUAUGAAUUACAGGUUAAUAAAAAUAAAGAUAGUGAAGUUUCGACAAUACUAGAGAAUGGGAUUCGAAAUCCUAUGGAGAAGAAGAGGAAGUUCUCUCCUAUAGUUUGGGAUAGAGAUGACAAAGAAGUUACUAAUUCUUCAAAAAGUAGAGUUUCUCCAGCAGUUCCCACUCUCCCUCCGCCACCUCCUCUCCCUAAGGCAUAUCGCAAGUCUCCCAAUGUUAUUUUAGAUGGGGGGUUGGAGAUUUCUCCUACUAAGAGUAGCAGUAACCAGAAUUUGAGGUUCUCUUCACCAGUCAAGGAUACAGUGGCUAAAGGGCUGCUUAGGUAUUCUGCAUCUGAAUCUCCUGUGGGACUGGCUGCCUUGCCUUUGGAGGAGCGACAAUUUGGCAAUGAUCAUGAAGCUGAGCUGAUAGAAGAUGAUGAUUAUGUACCAACUCGGAAUAUAUCAUCUUCUAGAUGGGCUGCUGGGAACAAUUCUCCUAUUGAUGAGGGUGAAAUUGUAGAUGAUCAGGAAAUGCCUAAAAGAAGGAAGAAGUCUCAUCUGGAGUCCUUGGAUUUCAGACUACGCAAUAGGUCAUCAACUCCUGACCUUGGAGACCUUAAAAUAGAAGGUUCAGAUGGAGCUAAAGUGAGAUCAUCCGAGUCUGACGAGCUCGCUCGUGCUAGGUCAUUGAGUGGGGAUGAUUAUCUGGGUAAUGAUACUGACAAGGAUGAUUACAUGGAGACUGAUGAAGAAAAUGAUGAUAGAAGUGGCCAUUCUGAUAGAAACUCUGAGAAUGAAAAUGAUUCUCGUGCCACACCAGAGCCUGCAGGUCCUCCUCAAAGAAGUGUAAACAUGCUUCUCGGCUGUAGGAGUGUAGAUGAGUUUGAGAGGUUAAAUAAGAUAGACGAAGGCACUUAUGGGGUUGUAUAUAGAGCUAAAGAUAAGAAGACCGGAGAAAUUGUAGCAUUGAAGAAGGUAAAAAUGGAGAAAGAACGUGAAGGUUUUCCAUUAACAUCUCUUAGGGAAAUAAAUAUUCUUCUUUCAUUUCAUCACCCUUCAAUUGUUGAUGUAAAAGAAGUUGUUGUAGGGAGUAACCUUGAUAGCAUUUUUAUGGUCAUGGAAUACAUGGAGCAUGAUCUUAAAGGCUUAAUGGAGUCUAUGAAGCAGCCAUUUAGCCAGAGCGAAGUUAAAUGCUUAAUGCUCCAGUUAUUGGAGGGUGUUAAGUAUUUGCACGAUAACUGGGUCCUUCAUCGAGAUUUGAAGACAUCAAAUUUGCUUUUGAAUAAUCGGGGUGAGUUGAAAAUCUGUGACUUCGGGUUGGCUCGUCAGUAUGGAAGUCCAUUGAAACCGUAUACUCAUUUGGUUGUUACUCUUUGGUAUAGGGCGCCUGAACUUCUUUUGGGAGCCAAACAAUAUUCAACAGCAAUUGACAUGUGGUCGCUAGGUUGUAUUAUGGCUGAACUUCUGUCGAAGGAACCCCUUUUCAAUGGGAAAACAGAGUUUGAUCAACUUGAUAAGAUUUUCCGAAUACUUGGUACACCAAAUGAGACAAUCUGGCCUGGGUUCUCCAAAUUGCCUGGUGUUAAGGUCAACUUUGUCAAGCAUCAGUAUAACCUACUGCGCAAGAAAUUCCCAGCAACAUCUUUCACUGGAUCACCAGUUCUUUCUGAUUCUGGAUUUGAUUUGUUGAACAAACUUCUAACCUAUGACCCUGAGAAGCGAAUAACUGCGGAAGCUGCUAUUAACCAUGAGUGGUUUCGUGAAGUUCCUCUUCCCAAGUCUAAAGAUUUUAUGCCUACUUUUCCUGCUCAGCAUGCCCAAGACAGGCGUCUGCGAAGAAUAUUGAAGAGUCCGGAUCCUUUGGAAGAGCAGCGCAGAAAGGAGCUGCAACAAGGGGAAUUGGGGACGGGUGGUUUAUUUGGCUAAGACAUCUUGUCUAUUAAUAUCCAUGCUUUGGUUUCCACAUUACUGGCGCAGGAUGAGGUUGAGGUGAGAGAUAAACAUUCAAAGGAAGUUGCAAACAUUGUCGCGCAGACGAUAUUCAUACUUUUUUUAGCAGGCACCUGUGGUCAUUUGGGCGGAGAAAUAUUUGCCUCCUGCCGCCCAAGAUAUCAUGGCCUUUCAUCUUGAAAAUCAGUUUCAGCUGAUACUUGUAGGCAGUUGGUGUGAAGUGGAGGAGACGUUCUUAGCUUUUCAUUGACGAAGAAAUAGACCGUAAUCAUAGUACACCAAAAGUAUCAAAGCAAUUCAAGAGGUUAUCGAAACUGGAUUUUAUAGAACUUUCAAUUAGUUGUCUGCAGGCUCACUAGAGGUACAAUACAAACUUGGUUUGUUCUUAUGUGUGGAUUAAUCUUGACUUAUCUCUUCAUACUUGAACUCUUAGCGGUUGCUGUUCUUGUGCUUGGGUUUUCGGAUAUGUUAGUCGGGUUGUGGUGACAUGAACACUCUUUUUGUUACCCCCAUGCUGUCUCCUGCUGAAGUUGAUCAAACUUCUGAAUGGCAUUAGGUUUUGCAUGUAGGACAUCUACAUGCAUGGUGUUGGAUUUAUAAUCGAAUGAAUCAUUUAUUGAUUUAACAUCUGUAAGGAUGGAGUUCUUUUAUUCGAACUUCUAAUGGUGUCCAGUUGGACAGAAGCCAUGUUACUGUAUGAUUUAUGGAUAGCAAUUGGAUGUUUAGGGCAAGGAUGAAUUGGCUUUUAUGGAUCACUUUGCCAUUAAUGUAGUAAAAAACCGAGCUUGUUGCCUUUUCCAAUGAGUUACUGCUUGCUCGAUCAUCCCAACUAGGCGAAACAUCAUAUCCAAUGAGUAUAUCAAAUCCAAAUCCAACAAGCUGAAUGGAGGAGCCUAUUGAUUUGUUCAUGUUGGUUUGGAGGGAUGAAAGAGUGACCACCUCAAUUCUGGAAUUUGAAGAGAAAAUUCUGCCUGCGAGCUAAAAGAAGUGGCUCUCUUAUACGAGUGAUGGGCAGUCCCCAGUUCUUCAACGAGUGAUGAGCAGUCCUCACAAAGUACUUUGCACAUUGACAAGCUCACCUGGCAGCAGUGUGCAUUGCCUGCGUAAAUACCUUUCAACUUGUCUAUAGCUAAUCUAACAACUGAAUUCUCUCGUGGAUGCCUUGAGAAGCAAUGACUUUUUACUUGGGUGCUUACAAUUGCUUCUAUAGCACACUAGUUUUUUAGAGUGUGCUUAGUUGUUUAAUUGUCCGCAGGCACUAAUGAAUGAUUUUCAAAGCAUAGAUGGUGACCAGAGGGUGGUUUUAACCUAUUGUUGCAAAUAUGUCCCCUAUUGUUCUUCAUAAAGUCCCAUGCAUAAUGAGAAAUCCUGGAUUCGGCGAUUGAACCUGUCCUGGAAAUUAACUUUGAUUUGAGGAAA